UUUUGUGAUAUCUGGAGACAGGAGGUUCUGUGGACAGUCACACUGUGCUUCUUGGGAUCUGUGUGGCUCCCAGGGGCACUGAGAAUUCAGGGCAGUACCCGAGAGGUGGCCAAGGCUGGCAUCACCUGAUGGUUUUUGAGUAGGACUUUAGUUCUGGGAGUCUCUACCAUCUUUUAAAAGCAUUUGGAUUUGCUUCUUCAUUGAUUCUGGGAGUUCUGAGCUUCCCAGCUGGUCAGUGUGAUUUUUGCAGGAAGGAAAAGCACAGAAUAGAAAUUGUUUCAGAUAGAAAUUGUUUCAGUUCUUGCUAGCUGUGACAGCCACAAAAAGUCAAAUGCUGUCUUCCCACUCUGCUGCUUAGAGGAAUGGUAUCAGUUGGAAUGAUUGGGCAUCUCUGCUUCCUUAGACCCUCUCUGACACAAGCAAGGUGCUGUUUCUGUUUCAUUUUUUUCCCCACUAAACUCUGGGUGGAUUCCAUCCAUUCAUAGAUGAGUGCUGAGCAAUGCAAAGCUUGUUUUGCAGAAAGACAUGACUGUGUCUCUGUGGAGGACCGGCUUUAUCUCCUGAAGGUAGGAUUUGGCGUGGGACUGAUGCCAGGAGCUGGGGACGGGCAAGCCUUCCUCCAUCCUCACACACGCAGAACGCAAAGCAAAAGCAGAGGGCUGCGCACAGAGUGGGGUUUAAUGGUCACUUGGUGAGGGGAGGAGAUGCUCCUGCUCCGCUCCGGGUCGUGCCUGAGGAGCAGCAGCCACACGAGGUCAGUGUUGCACUGUGCAAGUGGCUGCAAGAAGGCGGCACGGCCUUGGAGGAAAACUUGACCCAGAGAGGAGGGUUAAUUUGUCGCGGACACUUCUGCAUGCUUUGCUGCCCGCUUUACCUCUGCGUUUGGAGAUACGCGGUGCUAAUGAGGAAUUUGUUCCUGGAAGGAGAUUUUUAGCCGACGGGGGAAGAAAAGCUGCCGGGUGGGAGCAGUGCAGAGCUGGCGCCAACCAGAACCCUCGUCCAAAACACCCACUUGGCAGAUUAUUAUUAUUGUUUUUAACCCGCUGUAUUUGUUUGCUUAUUUUUCACACGUUUGGGAGUCGUGUGGUUUCAGCUGGGAGUGGAAACAUCAAAAUAUCUUGAGAGGAGCUCGGCCAAAGCUCUGCGGGGAGGGCUGUCUCGUGUCUGCUCCGAACCUGGGGGGGUUUCAGAGGUGUAAGGUGGAACUGCAGACCACGCGUGUCUGAGUUUUAUGCUCUGAGCAGCACUCCGUUCCUCAGGAAGACCUACAGGUUGGGGUAUAAAACCUGAAGCGCUUACAUUCAGAACAAGGCAGAGUUUGUCACGUAUUUUCUUUUUUCCCCCCCUCAAAAUGUCUUAAGAGUUUUGACUCCAAUUCAGCUCCGUGUUUUGACAACCUCAGUUUGAUGACGAACCACCGCCAGCACUCCGCUGUGUCUGCCUGGGGAUGCUCUGACAACUCCCAGCUCUAAUUGAGCAACAGGUUUGCUUCUCACACGGCAGACUUUGUGACUCUGAUCCCUUCCUCUUUGUGAAGCUAUACCCGUCACCAUGAGAAUACCUUGAAAAGAUGGAAAUUUUGAGCCCUCCGUCUUUGGAAAGCUUUCCUCGUUGUCUUCACUUUUUCUUACAACUUUUUACACCUUCAUUUUCUGUCUGCAGCACAGCAUAGAUCUGCCUCAGUGUCAGAGACAUUUGCCCCCCAUCCCACAGUGCAGCGCUGGGCUGUCAUGUUGGGAUGCUCUUCAGGGGGAAAAGUCAUCAGUCACUGAGAAUAAUGUUUGAAAGAGACUUUCAUUUUCAAAUAAAAAAUGCCAUUCUGU
ensembl:lncRNA